GGGGCUGUAGCUCAGCGGCAGAGCACUUGCCUAGCAUGUGUGAGGGCCUGGGUUCAAUCCUCAGCACCA
rnacentral:tRNA from 1 species